ensembl:lncRNA
CCCCGACUCCACUGCCCUGGCCCCUGCCAGCCAGCAGACCAAGUGACCUCUGGGCUCUUCUGAACCCUGGGCUGGCUUCGGUCAGAGGCUCUGCCACGUCCCAGAUGGCCGUCACCGAUGCCUGUGUCUCCUGUCUCCCCGGGGACAGACACGGCUUCCCACAGGCUUACUCGAAGCGGACGGCACGAGUUCAUUCCAUCGUCUUUGCUGAGCACCUUCUAGGCGCAUGAGCGGUGGAAGUGAUGGCAGUGAAUGUAUUAGAUAAACAAACAGAUACCCCAAACCCUGUCUGGCUGGAGCGGAUAGUUGAACAGCAACCGCAGAACUGAUAAUGUGUCUGGGGUGCCUGGUAUGUUGGAGCCACAGUGAAACUGGAGAGGAAGAUGAACGCGAGCUUCAGACGUGAUACCCAGAGGCAGGCUCUCUGAUGCCUGACCUGCAGCCUCUGCGUGUGGGCAUCUUGCAGGAGCAUCACUCACCUGGGAUGUCAGGGCACACAGGCCUGAAGCUGUCUCCUGGGAACUGGCUUCCCUUCACCUCCGAGGCACUCCCCCGAGUCCCCAUCGCCCCGCCAGGCAGGGAAAGGGCGCCUCAGUCUCCCCCACCACCUCCACAGCUGUGCCCAUUCUCCACGGCACACUCUUCCACAUCCCCGAGAGAUGGAGCGUCUCUGGCAGCCCCGCCAGGCUACCGUCCCCUCACUCCAGGCCCAGAACUGGCCUGGCUUCCUGGACGGCAGCUGGCAGGGGCUCAGGGGCAGGGGGAUGAAAGAGACCCGAGUGAGUCCUCGGAGACCCCAGCCUGCCUCCCCAGGCCCUGAGGCAGCUGUGCUCAAACCUGGCACAGCUGGGGUCUAUGGGGCUGCUGUCUGAUACACCCUCCUGCCCCGGGAAACACCCGUCUUCUCCCACCGGACCCUUCAUGGUCUGACUGGUCCCUGUCACUGGACUGCAUGGGAAAGCAGCCUGGAAUCCCUAAAACAGAGGUUUCCGGGGUGCAGACAGCAGAACCACAGGGAGGCACCUGAUGCAGGGCCGUCUUUGGGCACAUCCGUGCGCCGCGGCUGACAGGGAAGCACAGCAGCCCAGUGGGGGCUUCCCCGGUGGCUCAGCGGUAAAGAAGCCAACACAGGAGACCCAGCUUCGAUCCCCGGGUCGGGAAGAUUCCCCUGGAGGAGGAAAGGGCAACCCCCUCCAGUGUUCCUGCCUGGGAGACCCCACGGACAGGGGAGAUGGGCGGGCUACAGUCCAUGGGGUCGCAGAGAGUCGGACACAACUGAGCAACAUUAGAGCAGAGCUUCUUGGGGGUCCACUGCUUUGGAGGACAGGACCUAUUGUGAACCCCAUGACAGUGGCUUAGGCUUAAUGGGGGACUUACUGACCCUCUGGGGUAGAUCUGAAAUAAAUGAAAAGGUGGGGCUACCCACUUUCUGUGGAAGUUGAAGGAAAUGCUCUGAAACCACGCAGAGCCUGUGUAUAAUAACAGCACCUACCUCCUGGGGAGGGAGCCGGCUAAGACCUUUCGCUGCCUCUGCUUUCCCAUUCUCUAGACUUUCUACGACCCUUCAGCAUCUACUGGACGGUCACACUGUUAAACCCAGCAGGUGUCAGCCUCCCGCAGCGCUGUGUCUCACUGGCAGGACCGGGAACUCCCCAGCUGAGCGGGGGGUGGUGGUAUUGGUGACUCGGGAGUCAAGGUGGCCUUGAGCUGGGCGUGGGGAAAAGGGGAGAGGGGCUGGGCACAGUGCCAGGGAGCAAGGGGGUCGGGAGGGUCAGGCUGGACCAGGCGGGGUGGGCAGGUGAAUGGAGCAGAGGGUGAGGCACACGUAGGGUCCCGCAGGCCCCAGGCAACCAUGGAUGGCGUGUGAGCAGAAGGCUGAGUCUGGGAAGGGCAGCGGGCAUCUCCCAGGUUCCUUUCUCCCGCUUUGCAAUGUUGAUCCCACGCUUCUGUGCGGUGUGAAGAUCCCAAGCGUGCCUGCUCUGGACGGCAGCGUGACCCUGGGCUUAGAAGUGGUGGCUGCGGAGCUUGGCCGGCUCAGACCCUCGGGCUGUGCUCUGUGGCUGCGUGCGAUGUCCACAGGCCGUGACCCCACCUCCCUGGGCUUCAGGUCCUCACCCCUGGGUUGAGAACGGCCAUAAAACACCAGCCUCCUGGACGGGGCGGGCAGGCCUUCGAUGAGUCAGGACACGUAAAGCAUUUGAGACGGGGAGCCGGCACACAGCGAGCCCUCGAGAUACCUGGUCCCUGCCAUCACCCCAUUGCCAGUGUCCUCCCGGACUUCAGUCUCCCUCGACGCUCGCUUUCGAGGGUUCCUCGGGGGGCAAGCAUGGGCUCAGGGUCUGUCGGCCAGCAGACACCAGCAAGGCCUGUCCUGCCACCCACCUUCAGGACACGGUGUCCCCAGGCUCCCUCUCUCCAUCCUCAGCAUCUGCGCGAGCUGGGCCAGUGCCAGGAAGCCCCGGGUUCAGCCUUGCCUCACCUCGUUUAUUCUCCUCUGAGA